rnacentral:lncRNA from 1 species
CUGGUAUUAAAUGAUAACCAGGUGCUCCGCAGGGCGCAGCUUUAUACGACCACAGAGGUCGAACCCUGAACAGUUGGGGCAAGUAUGGACAAAACAUUCAAGCGUGAUACAGCUCUGAAUUUGGAUUGUGAUCAAAUUUUGACAUUACAUGGUUUUUUUUUACACAAAACAAAUGUCAAGAUUUUACAAAUCAAUUAAAGAUUUCUUCUUCAAACUUUUUAAAUCUAAAAUUAAAUAGUUGAUCAUGACACAGCAUAGGUUUCUGACACAGAACGAAUGAACUUAAAAGUUUUUUUUUUGCCUUUGAGCAAUUCACUAUGCUGUUGAAUAUUAAUCCUCUCAAAAAAAUGUUUGAAGAAAUUUUCUUUUUAUUUAUGAAAUUUGAAAUGAGAAAAAUUUAACCCCCCCCCCUUUUUUUUCACAUCCCCGUUUCCCUUUUUCCAAAACUGAUAUCAAUUCAAAUUUCUAAUGGAGUUUGCAACAAUAACUACUCUUUUAAAUACAUCAUAAAAUAUUAAAAUGUAAAAUAAAGU